AACGGACAGAAAACAGGAGAUGGAGGUGGUGGUGCACUACUGCCUCUCUCUUUUCUUGACGGCUUCUCUUGACACUGCUGUUCUUGCUGGUGCAUUAGAUCAUUUAACAUUUGUUUCAAUCUUUGGACAUUAUUCUGCUGCCAAGACAGUUGAGUAUAACACUGGUUUAACUGAUGCAUAAUAAGAUGUACUUGUGAAGAUGCAACAUUAUUGGGCACCACAUUAUAUGGGCCUGCAAGCAAAGUCUGUAGAAAACAGGAGAGGGUCUGCUGAUCUUGCAUUAAAGUCUGGCAAAUGCUAACACUAAAUUCAAGUUGUUUCUUCAACUGAUUGAUCUGUUCUUGCCAUUGUUCUUUUUCCUCCACAUAAGAAAGCUCAGAUAUCCACCGAAAGUUUUCCUGGCGUCUCAUACUGAUGUUUUGCUGCUGCCUUGUUUUAGACAUCGGUCGAUAAUUCCCAUCUGCCGAAAGAGGACGGCAAUUUUUCCACCUAUCCUUAUUUCCUUUAAGAUAAUACACACUUUCUGGUAUUUGGUUAUUGGGAUAAGCAGAAAAGCUGUCAUUCAUACUUGGCGCAUCUUCCUCUUCUUCUGCCUGGUCAAGUCCAUCAGAGAGAUAACCAUCUUCAUCUCCAUCCUCUUCAUCUAAUGCACACUGGGUAGAACCUCCCCAGGUAGCCAUUGUCCUGUUCUCUGUCCUACUCUGCUGGGGAGUACGCUGAGCUUCUGACCCCUCACUUUUAACAGAUGCAGCAACAGUAGAUAUUGUUUCUGCAAGUUCUCUCCUCCUCUGAUGUUCAGCCAUUAAAGCUUCAAGUUGUUUUCUUCUCCGUCGCAAUUCUUCUCUUAGAAUUUCAUGUCUUCUCAUCUCAGACCAUAACUCAUUGCCUACUGGUACAGAUUCACCAAAUUCAAGUAAAGGCUUGCCAGCUGUGUUACACUCAUUCAUGGCUGGAGUUGAGGUUGCUGGUGAAGUCUGUCUAUUUGCUGGGCUGUUACCCAGGCCAGCAGAUUGAAGGUCAGGACAAGCUUUCUGUAACACUUCAAUUUUUUCUUGAAUUUCCAUCAAUUUUCUUCUUUCUUCUUGUAACUGCUUAAGUUCCCGCUGCUGCUGCUGCAGUUUAGCUUCAUAAAACUUCUCUCUUGCUUUUUCAUUCAGUCCUGCAUCUUUUUGCAACUUAUUGGUACUAACUCGAACAUUGUUUGGUUGUUGCUUUGUCUCUUCCAUCUCACCCAAAAAGUCACCCAUGUUAGAUGCAUUUGCAGUCAGUACUUGAGGUUCUGGAUCAUCAUCCUGCACCAUAGCAGCAAGGUUUUGUAACUGUCGAAGUUUCUGCUUUGCAGCCAUAAGCCUAUUAAUCUUCUGCUCAAACUCAGCAUCUCCUGCAACAUCACCCAGGCUGCUUCUGUGACUAGACAUGGAAUCUUCACUAGCUCUAUCUUCUUCCACUUCAUCAUCCUCACCGUGGGGUAGGUCAGCAUGUUUGUCAUCCUCCCUAUUAUGACAGUCUAGAGUUGAAGACAUUUUUAGAGUCCUUAUAUUAGCAGCAGAUCGAUUAUUUAUUUCACAGUCUGUAUUAAGAUGUCUUCCAUCUCUGUUAUUAGUUCCACACUGUACAUUUGAGUUGCUAUUUAUUUCACUCCAACUACUGAUUCCUUGAGGGUUUCUAAUAUUUGUAACAGGCUGUGGAUCCCCAUGUUCAGAAUCACUUCCCGAGUCUUCCGUUUCUUCCUCUUCCUUAGUGUUCUCAUUCACAGCAUCUGUCAUCAUAUCAGAUGUCUGCUCAUAGUAGUGAACUAGCUCACGUAACUCAUUCAGUCUCUUACGAACCUCAUUUAGCUUCUGAAGUUUUUCCGUUGGAUUUAGAUUGUCAUCCUCUUCACUCUCAUUCUGAGAAGCCAGGGAAUCAGGAGGAUAGGGAGCAGAUGCCAGACUAUUUGAUUCACCAUUGAUAACAGUUACUACACCCA
rnacentral:lncRNA from 1 species